UACGUAGGGACCAAGCGUUGUUCGGAUUUACUGGGCGUAAAGGGCGCGUAGGCGGCCCGGUAAGUCCGCUGUGAAAGUCUAGGGCUCAACCCUGGAAUGCCGGUGGAAACUGUCGGGCUAGAGUCCGGAAGAGGCGAGUGGAAUUCCUGGUGUAGCGGUGAAAUGCGCAGAUAUCAGGAGGAACACCAAUGGCGAAGGCAGCUCGCUGGGACGGUACUGACGCUGAGACGCGAAAGCGUGGGGAGCAAACAGG
rnacentral:rRNA from 1 species